UAAACCGAAAAAAUGGAGGACAACAGUGCCAAGCGCAGCAAGAACUUUUCGAAACAGGAGUUGGAGGUGUUGGUGGAGGAGGUGGUUUCAAGGCAAAGAAUAUUAAUGGGGAAGUUGGAUAACGUAGUCACUGCAGAUAAUAAGAAGAGGGCGUGGGCGAAAGUUGCCCAAUCGGUGUCCGCAGUAGGGGAAACGGAGCGCGAUGCGAUUGCAAUAAAAAAAAAAUGGGCGGACGUAAAAUCCCUCGUAAAGAAAAAAAGCUGCUGAGAGGACGAGGGAGACGAGGAAGACAGGAGGAGGGACGUCCUCUGUUAAACUCGACCCUUUGGAGGAGAAGAUUUUGGGUAUGAUAGGGGAAUCGCUGGUAGGAGGAGUUCAAGGAGGGGUGGACACUGGAGACCACAGCUGUAUGCAGCUGCUACAGCAGACACAAACGGUUGCAACAAUCCAAGUUAUUGUACCCACUGAAGACAUUGUCCCCCCCCACAUUGAACCUGAAGUUCAACAAAAUAAUUCUGAAGAAGAUCUUAGUCUGUCACAACUAAUUUCAGAGUCCAUCCUCCAGCCCACACCAGUGAUGACACACAGCAUGGAGGACAUGAUCUUUAUUCAAAGAGACCUUUUGGAGGAAGUGCGACAACUUAGAAGGGUUCAAGAGCAACUUCUACUGGUGGAGAGAGAGAGACUGCUCUUGGCCAAAGCCAAAUUUGAGCUA